GGAGUGGGUGGAAGAUGAUGUGGAGGAUGAUGAAGUCCUAGACCCCACAUGGAAUCAAGGUCAUGCGAGUGACGUGUGCAGUUUGGAGGAAGAGGCACUGGUCACACAGAGGCACCAGCACAGCAUAAGAGGGAGCAGGGUACAAAAGCUGUCCUCUAGUGCUUGUGGUGACAUUCUGUCAUCAAACUAAUAUGGUGACCAGGGAUCACGUGACCAAGCU